GAUGAACGCUGACGGCGUGCCUAAUACAUGCAAGUCGAGCGAACGGACGAGAAGCUUGCUUCUCUGAUGUUAGCGGCGGACGGGUGAGUAACACGUGGAUAACCUACCUAUAAGACUUGGAUAACUUCGGGAAACCGGAGCUAAUACCGGAUAAUAUUUUGAACCGCAUGGUUCAAAAGUGAAAGACGGUCUUGCUGUCACUUAUAGAUGGAUCCGCGCUGCAUUAGCUAGUUGGUAAGGUAACGGCUUACCAAGGCAACGAUGCAUAGCCGACCUGAGAGGGUGAUCGGCCACACUGGAACUGAGACACGGUCCAGACUCCUAAGGGAGGCAGCAGUAGGGAAUCUUCCGCAAUGGGCGAAAGCCUGACGGAGCAACGAAGCGUGAUGGAUGAAGGUCUUCGGAUCGUAAAACUCUGUUAUUAGGGAAGAACAUAUGUGUAAGUAACUGUGCACAGCUUGAAGGUACCUAAUCAGAAAGCCACGGCUAACUACGUG
rnacentral:rRNA from 1 species